CCAAACCCCUGUGAACAUACCAAUUGUUGCCUCGGCGGAUCAGCCCGCUCCCGGUAAAACGGGACGGCCCGCCAGAGGACCCCUAAACUCUGUUUCUAUAUGUAACUUCUGAGUAAAACCAUAAAUAAAUCAAAACUUUCAACAACGGAUCUCUUGGUUCUGGCAUCGAUGAAGAACGCAGCAAAAUGCGAUAAGUAAUGUGAAUUGCAGAAUUCAGUGAAUCAUCGAAUCUUUGAACGCACAUUGCGCCCGCCAGUAUUCUGGCGGGCAUGCCUGUUCGAGCGUCAUUUCAACCCUCAAGCCCCCGGGUUUGGUGUUGGGGAUCGGCGAGCCCUUGCGGCAAGCCGGCCCCGAAAUCUAGUGGCGGUCUCGCUGCAGCUUCCAUUGCGUAGUAGUAAAACCCUCGCAACUGGUACGCGGCGCGGCCAAGCCGUUAAACCCCCAACUUCUGAAUGUUGACCUCGGAUCAGGUAGGAAUACCCGCUGAACUUAAGCUAAUCAAUAAGCGGAGGAAAGGAUCAUUACCGAGUUUACAACUCCCAAACCCCUGUGAACAUACCAAUUGUUGCCUCGGCGGAUCAGCCCGCUCCCGGUAAAACGGGACGGCCGCCAGAGGACCCUAAACUCUGUUUCUAUAUGUAACUUCUGAGUAAAACAUAAAUAAAUCAAACUUUCACAACGGAUCUCUUGGUUCUGGCAUCGAUGAAGAACGCACAAAAUGCGAUAAGUAAUGUGAACUGCGAAAUUCGUGAAUCAUCUAAUC
rnacentral:rRNA from 1 species